AUUUCGGUAUGUAAACUUCUUUAAGCAGGGAAGAAUUCGUGACGGUACCUGCAGAAUAAGCUCCGGCUAACUCCGUGCCAGCAGCCGCGGUAAUACGGGGGGAGCAAGCGUUGUCCGGAUUUACUGGGUGUAAAGGGUGUCUAGGCGGAUAUGUAAGUCUGAUGUGAAAUCCCGCAGCUUAACUGCGGACGUGCAUUGGAAACUAUAUAUCUUGAAUGGAUGAGAGGCAAGUGGAAUUCCUAGUGUAGCGGUGAAAUGCGUAGAUAUUAGGAGGAACACCAGUGGCGAAGGCGGCUUGCUGGCAUCUUAUUGACGCUGAAGCACGAAAGCGUGGGGAGCAAACAGGAUUAGAUACCCUGGUAGUCCACGCCGUAAACGAUGAUUACUAGGUGUUGGGGGUAUAAAUUCCCUCAGUGCCGCAGUUAACACAAUAAGUAAUCCACCUGGGGAGUACGACCGCAAGGUUGAAACUCAAAGAAAUUGACGGGGGCCCGCACAAGCAGUGGAGUAUGUGGUUUAAUUCGAAGAUACGCGAAAAACCUUACCAGAACUUGACAUCUAGGGAAGUCUGCCGAAGGGCAGAUGUGCCGUUUACGGAACCCUAAGACAGGUGGUGCAUGGUUGUCGUCAGCUCGUGUCGUGAGAUGUUGGGUUAAGUCCCGCAACGAGCGCAACCCUUAUUGCUAGUUGCCAUCAUUUAGUUGGGCACUCUAGCGAGACUGCCGUUGACAAAACGGAGGAAGGUGGGGAUGAUGUCAAAUCAUCAUGCCCCUUAUGUUCUGGGCUACACACGUACUACAAUGGGAUGCACAACGGGAAGCCAAGCCGCGAGGUGGAGCAAAUCCCUAAAAACAUUCCUCAGUUCGGAUAGGAGGCUGAAACUCGCCUCCUUGAAGCUGGAAUUGCUAGUAAUCGCGAAUCAGCAUGUCGCGGUGAAUACGUUCCCGGGCCUUGUACACACCGCCCGUCACACCAUGAGAGUCGGCAAUACCCGAAGUCCGUAGGAUAACCUUUUAGGAGUCCGCGGCCU
rnacentral:rRNA from 1 species